rnacentral:rRNA from 1 species
GUUCGGAUNUAGGCUGCAACUCGCCUACAUGAAGUCGGAAUUGCUAGUAAUCGCGGAUCAGCAUGCCGCGGUGAAUACGUUCCCGGGCCUUGUACACACCGCCCGUCACACCAUGGGAGUCGGUAACACCCGAAGCCUGUAGUCUAACCGCAAGGGGGACGCAGUCGAAGGUGGGAUUGAUGACUGGGGUGAAGUCGUAACAAGGUACC